rnacentral:rRNA from 1 species
AGGCAGCAGGGGGAACGCGCAAGGGCGAAAGCCGACGCAGCCAGCCGCGGAAGAGAAGGCAGGAGAAUACCACCGGGGAAGAAAGACGGACCCGGAGAAGAAGCCCCGGCAACC